rnacentral:rRNA from 1 species
AUUGAACGCUGGCGGCAGGCCUAACACAUGCAAGUCGAACGGUAACAGGAAACAGCUUGCUGUUUCGCUGACGAGUGGCGGACGGGUGAGUAAUGUCUGGGAAACUGCCUGAUGGAGGGGGAUAACUACUGGAAACGGUAGCUAAUACCGCAUAACGUCGCAAGACCAAAGAGGGGGACCUUCGGGCCUCUUGCCAUCGGAUGUGCCCAGAGGGGAUUAGCUAGUUGGUGGGGUAACGGCUCACCAAGGCGACGAUCCCUAGCUGUUCUGAGAGAAUGACCAGCCACACUGGAACUGAGACACUGUCCAGACUCCUACGGGAGGCAGCAGUGGGGAAUAUUGCACAAUGGGCGCAAGCCUGAUGCAGCCAUGCCGCGUGUAUGAAGAAGGCCUUCGGGUUGUAAAGUACUUUCAGCGGGGAGGAAGGGAGUAAAGUUAAUACCUUUGCUCAUUGACGUUACCCGCAGAAGAAGCACCGGCUAACUCCGUGCCAGCAGCCGCCGUAA